rnacentral:rRNA from 1 species
AGGGAAUCUUCGGCAAUGGACGGAAGUCUGACCGAGCAACGCCGCGUGAGUGAAGAAGGUUUUCGGAUCGUAAAGCUCUGUUGUAAGAGAAGAACGAGUGUGAGAGUGGAAAGUUCACACUGUGACGGUAUCUUACCAGAAAGGGACGGCUAACUACGUGCCAGCAGCCGCGGUAAUACGUAGGUCCCGAGCGUUGCCCGGAUUUAUUGGGCGUAAAGCGAGCGCAGGCGGUUAGAUAAGUCUGAAGUUAAAGGCUGUGGCUUAACCAUAGUAGGCUUUGGAAACUGUUUAACUUGAGUGCAAGAGGGGAGAGUGGAAUUCCAUGUGUAGCGGUGAAAUGCGUAGAUAUAUGGAGGAACACCGGUGGCGAAAGCGGCUCUCUGGCUUGUAACUGACGCUGAGGCUCGAAAGCGUGGGGAGCAAACAGGAUUAGGUACCCUGGUAGUCCACGCCGUAAACGAUGAGUGCUAGGUGUUAGACCCUUUCCGGGGUUUAGUGCCGUAGCUAACGCAUUAAGCACUCCGCCUGGGGAGUACGACCGCAAGGUUG